UCACCGUGUCAUUAGCUCUCCGGCAGGAAUCAGGGAGCUGUGCUGCUGGACUUUACCGGCGCUGCGGGACUUUUAAACAGCGAUCAGGCGCUGCGGGCUGUAUUAAGAAAAUCGCCAGUGCCCCGGGACGAGCAGGACUGAUGGGCGAUUCAUUUAAAAUGAACCAAACAAUGGACUGUAAAUUCUCUGAUGGCAUCGCCUCCUUAGAUCACCUGACCGAUAUUUGAUCCUGAGAGGCUGAGUAUUGUCGAAUAGUUACUAAGGGUUAAAAAGGACUGGAUGUUUGCCCCGAAUGUGGACCAAUGAGAAUGCGGUUCACGGUGAGAAAGGUGCUCUUCAUUAUGUCCUCUAUUAUAUUGGUGGCAUUAGCAGUGCACCUUGGGCAGCAAAUGCUAGAAUGCCAACAAAUUCUUGAUGGAAGUUAUGGCAAAAGAAACCGAGGUGUUAUGAAGCCAGAGAAUGAAGAAUUAGUCAUGGUGGACUCCAAUAAUAUAGAAUACCGAUACAGCAAGGACAUGCCACUCAUAUUUAUAGGAGGAGUGCCACGGAGUGGUACAACAUUAAUGAGAGCGAUGCUCGAUGCCCAUCCUGAUGUCCGCUGUGGCGAAGAGACUCGUAUUAUUCCCCGGAUUUUAGCAAUGCGGCAAGCAUGGUCGAAAUCUGGCAGUGAAAAAAUGCGCCUUGAUGAAGCUGGCGUGACGGACCAUGUGAUGGACUCAGCUGUCCAAGCAUUUAUUUUAGAAAUUAUAGCCAAGCACGGUGAACCCGCCAAAUUGUUAUGUAACAAGGACCCGUUUACUUUAAAAUCAUCUGUUUAUCUUUCAAGAUUGUUUCCAAAUUCCAAAUUUCUCUUAAUGAUACGUGAUGGGCGUGCCUCUGUACAUUCCAUGAUAACAAGGAAGAUAACAAUAGCAGGCUUUGAUUUAAACAGUUACAGAGACUGCCUCACCAAGUGGAACAAGGCAAUAGAUAUAAUGUAUGCCCAGUGCUUGGAAAUUGGCGAGCAAAAGUGCCUUCCAGUCCGGUAUGAACAGUUAGUUCUUCACCCUAAACAAACCAUGCGUUCAAUCAUUGAAUUCUUGGGUAUUCCGUGGAAUGAUGCAGUUCUGCAUCACGAGGAGCUGAUAGGAAAACCUGGAGGAGUGUCACUUUCAAAAACUGAGAAGUCAACAGACCAAGUAAUGAAGCCAGUAAACCUUGAGGCUUUGACAAAGUGGGUUGGGAAAUUACCAGCAGAUAUAGUAGAUGAUAUGCCUCGUAUUGCCCCCAUGCUUGCAAGGCUUGGGUAUGAUCCUUUUGCAAACCCACCGAAGUAUGGAAAUCCAGAUGCUAUGGUGGUCAACAACACUCACAGAGUUUUGAAGGGAGAUUUUAAAACCCCUAGCAGUUUGAAAGGAUAUAUGAAGGUUCAUCAAAAUAACUCUUCAAACUGGUGAUGUUACUGCAAUUCAGAGAAAAUAACCCCAACCUUGACAGUCUACCCUCACAAUAGAGUGAAUUGUUUUUCCUUUAGAAGAAACAAGAACCCUACUUAAAGUUUUCAAAGGAAACAAAAUAUCCAAGCAUAUUGCUUGUCAAAUGUUGCCAAAAUGUGACUGCCCAGAGCGAAUGUAUUUGCACUUGUUUGUACGCUGGAAUCUUUCCAAUCUCACAGUAACAAUGGAUGUCUCCAGCUUCUCUGAAUUUACUGUGAAAACGAAGUUAUCUGUGGAUCUUUUUACCUGCUAUUGAAUUUGGAAACCGUGUGACCAAGCUUUUUUAUUGAAUUCUAAAUAUUUUUACACCAUGUACAAAACACUAGGACCCUCAUUGCUUUUGCAUAUUCACAGAAGGACAAACAAACCACCUUUUAAGCCCUCUUUUUAAUAUAAUCUUAAAGUAAGUGUCAGCUUUUUAAACUGGUGUCUCCCAUGUAAUUUUCCAGUGUUUACUAUUAAAAUGUACAUUAUAAACUGGCAGUGGAGUUACCCUCACCUGAGAGGUUAUACAGCUUUACAAAAACAACGGUAUAGAGAAAUAGGUUGAAUGAAGUACGACAUUAUUACUUCUCAACAGAAGGAAAAUAUAUACAUUGUGGUUGUUAUUCAGUUAUGUAGCAGAAUCCUUCCCUUCAAGAAAAGGAGUCUGGUAUUAGGUUCCCCUUAAAAAAAAAAAGCAAAAAUGGCAUAAUAAUUCAGUGUUCUAAUUAAAUCCUGGCCUGUAUCUUGGAGGUUGACAAAAGUGUUGCUACCAUGUUGCUUGUUUUGGUCACAUUUAAUUGAUCUUAAUAGUACAGCAAUGACAAAAGUAAUUUAUCAGAGAGGAAAGAGUAAGGGAUAAUUAACAAUGGUAGAUUGUGUUGUUUUCCCCUUGACCAAAUCCCCAACAUAAAAAAAAUCUGAAAUUGCCCUCCAUUGCUCACAAUGAAAAUUGCUUGAAAGCAUUGGUCAUGCCCCAGUAGAGACACAUUGUACAGGUGCAUUGAUUUUGGAUUUUGGAGAACUGCCUUUUCACCCUUAUUUAGCUCCAUAAUAUAUAAUUUUGGCACCCAUUCUACAGAAGGUCCUACUGAUUCGUGUAGUGAAAAAAAAACAAUAUUAUAUCAAACCCCCAGUGUUGUGCAAGUAACACCUUACAGUAAAUGUUGCAUAACAUGUUUCUCUAUAUUUUAAUAUAUUUCUAAAGGCUGCAUUAUAUAAGCAGAUUGAUGAAAGGUUCUUUGACCGCAGUAACUUGGUGAUGGCAAAAAAUGUUUGUGUAUCAAAACAAUGCAAAAUAAACUGUGCAGACCAUUGCCAUGAAAGUGUUAAUUCAUUCCCUUCUAUCCAGUUCAUGUAAUUUGCAAUGCUUUAUUUAAGAGUUUAAAAUAUGAUCAGUUCAUGACCGUUUCAUAACAUUAAUCUUAAUAAAGUGAUAACUCGCACUUGA